rnacentral:rRNA from 1 species
UACCAGCUCUCCGAGUGGUGUGGAUGUUUAUUGGGCCUAAAGCAUCCGUAGCUGGCCAAGUUAGUCCCCUGUUAAAUCCACCGAAUUAAUCGUUGGAGUGCGGGGGAUACUGCUCGGCUAGGGGACGAGAGAGGCCGACGGUAUUUUCGGGGUAGGGGCGAAAUCCUAUAAUCCCGGGAAGACCACCAGUGGCGAAGGCUGUCGGCUAGAACGCGCCCGACGGUGAGGGAUGAAAGCUGGGGGAGCGAACCGGAUUAGAUACCCGGGUAGUCCCAGCUGUAAACGAUGCAGGCUAGGUGUUUGGGCGGCCACGGGCCGCUCUAGUGCCGCAGGGAAGCUGUUAAGCCUGCCGCCUGGGGAGUACGGCCGCAAGGCUGAAACUUAAGGAAUUGGCGGGGGAGCACCACAAGGGGUGAAGCUUGCGGUUU